UGGGGAAUAUUGGACAAUGGACCGAGAGCCUGAUCCAGCAAUUCUGUGUGCACGAUGACGUUUUUCGGAAUGUAAAGUGCUUUCAGUUGGGAAGAAAAAAAUGACGGUACCAACAGAAGAAGUGACGGCUAAAUACGUGCCAGCAGCCGCGGUAAUACGUAAGUCACGAGCGUUAUCCGGAUUUAUUGGGCGUAGAGCGCGUCUAGGUGGUUAUGUAAGUCUGAUGUGAAAAUGCAGGGCUCAACUCUGUAUUGCGUUGGAAACUGUAUAACUAGAGUACUGGAGUGCUAAGCGGAACUACUAGUGUAGAGGUGAAAUUCGUAGAUAUUUGUAGGAAUGCCGUUGGGAAAGCCAGCUUACUGGACAGAUACUGACGCUGAAGCGCAAAGGCGUGGGUAGCAAUCAGA
rnacentral:rRNA from 1 species